rnacentral:rRNA from 1 species
UUAUUGGAGAGUUUGAUCCUGGCUCAGGACGAACGCUGGCGGCGUGCCUAAUACAUGCAAGUCGAGCGAAUCUGAGGGAGCUUGCUCCCAAAGAUUAGCGGCGGACGGGUGAGUAACACGUGGGCAACCUGCCUGUAAGACUGGGAUAACUUCGGGAAACCGGAGCUAAUACCGGAUAAUCCUUUUCUACUCAUGUAGAAAAGUUGAAAGAUGGCUUCGGCUAUCACUUACAGAUGGGCCCGCGGCGCAUUAGCUAGUUGGUGAGGUAACGGCUCACCAAGGCGACGAUGCGUAGCCGACCUGAGAGGGUGAUCGGCCACACUGGGACUGAGACACGGCCCAGACUCCUACGGGAGGCAGCAGUAGGGAAUCUUCCGCAAUGGACGAAAGUCUGACGGAGCAACGCCGCGUGAGUGAUGAAGGUUUUCGGAUCGUAAAACUCUGUUGUUAGGGAAGAACAAGUACCGUUCGAAUAGGGCGGUACCUUGACGGUACCUAACCAGAAAGCCACGGCUAACUACGUGCCAGCAGCCGCGGUAAUACGUAGGUGGCAAGCGUUGUCCGGAAUUAUUGGGCGUAAAGCGCGCGCAGGUGGUUUCUUAAGUCUGAUGUGAAAGCCCCCGGCUCAACCGGGGAGGGUCAUUGGAAACUGGGAGACUUGAGUGCAGAAGAGGAAAGUGGAAUUCCAAGUGUAGCGGUGAAAUGCGUAGAGAUUUGGAGGAACACCAGUGGCGAAGGCGACUUUCUGGUCUGUAACUGACACUGAGGCGCGAAAGCGUGGGGAGCGAACAGGAUUAGAUACCCUGGUAGUCCACGCCGUAAACGAUGAGUGCUAAGUGUUAGAGGGUUUCCGCCCUUUAGUGCUGCAGCAAACGCAUUAAGCACUCCGCCUGGGGAGUACGGCCGCAAGGCUGAAACUCAAAGGAAUUGACGGGGCCCGCACAAGCGGUGGAGCAUGUGGUUUAAUUCGAAGCAACGCGAAGAACCUUACCAGGUCUUGACAUCCUCUGACAAUCCUAGAGAUAGGACGUUCCCCUUCGGGGGACAGAGUGACAGGUGGUGCAUGGUUGUCGUCAGCUCGUGUCGUGAGAUGUUGGGUUAAGUCCCGCAACGAGCGCAACCCUUGAUCUUAGUUGCCAGCAUUCAGUUGGGCACUCUAAGGUGACUGCCGGUGACAAACCGGAGGAAGGUGGGGAUGACGUCAAAUCAUCAUGCCCCUUAUGACCUGGGCUACACACGUGCUACAAUGGAUGGUACAAAGGGCUGCAAGACCGCGAGGUUUAGCCAAUCCCAUAAAACCAUUCUCAGUUCGGAUUGCAGGCUGCAACUCGCCUGCAUGAAGCCGGAAUCGCUAGUAAUCGCGGAUCAGCAUGCCGCGGUGAAUACGUUCCCGGGCCUUGUACACACCGCCCGUCACACCACGAGAGUUUGUAACACCCGAAGUCGGUGGGGUAACCGCAAGGAGCCAGCCGCCUAAGGUGGGACAGAUGAUUGGGGUGAAGUCGUAACAAGGUAGCCGUAUCGGAAGGUGCGGCUGGAUCACCUCCUUU